rnacentral:rRNA from 1 species
GACGAACGCUGGCGGCGUGCUUAACACAUGCAAGUCGAACGGUAAGGCCCUUCGGGGUACACGAGUGGCGAACGGGUGAGUAACACGUGGGUGAUCUGCCCUGCACUUCGGGAUAAGCCUGGGGAACUGGGUCUAAUACCGGAUAGGACCCUGGGAUGCAUGUCCUGGGGUGGAAAGCUUUUGCGGUGUGGGAUGGGCCCGCGGCCUAUCAGCUUGUUGGUGGGGUGAUGGCCUACCAAGGCGACGACGGGUAGCCGGCCUGAGAGGGUAACCGGCCACACUGGGACUGAGAUACGGCCCAGACUCCUACGGGAGGCAGCAGUGGGGAAUAUUGCACAAUGGGCGCAAGCCUGAUGCAGCGACGCCGCGUGAGGGAUGACGGCCUUCGGGUUGUAAACCUCUUUCAGCACCGACGAAGCGCAAGUGACGGUAGGUGCAGAAGAAGGACCGGCCAACUACGUGCCAGCCGCCGCAGUAA